AUACGGAGGGUGCAAGCGUUAAUCGGAAUUACUGGGCGUUAAGCGCGCGUAGGCGGAUAUUUAAGUCUCAUGUGAAAGCCCUGGGCUCAACCUGGGAACUGCAUGGGAUACUGGGUAUCUAGAAUACAGUAGAGGGUAGUGGAAUUUCAGGUGUAGCGGUGAAAUGCGUAGAGAUCUGAAGGAACAUCAGUGGCGAAGGCGACUACCUGGACUGAUAUUGACGCUGAGGUGCGAAAGCGUGGGGAGCAAACGGGAUUAGAAACCCCAGUAGUCC
rnacentral:rRNA from 1 species